GUAGGGAUAGUUUAAUUAAAAAUAAAUAUUUGAAAAAUAUUUGAUAGGUAUUUAUAUCUUCUCUACA
rnacentral:tRNA from 1 species